UGGGGAAUAUUGCACAAUGGGCGCAAGCCUGAUGCAGCCAUGCCGCGUGUAUGAAGAAGGCCUUCGGGUUGUAAAGUACUUUCAGCGGGGAGGAAGGUGUUGAGGCUAAUAACCUCAGCAAUUGACGUUACCCGCAGAAGAAGCACCGGCUAACUCCGUGCCAGCAGCCGCGGUAAUAAGGGAGGGGCAAGCGUUAAUCGGAAUUACUGGGCGUAAAGCGCACGCAGGCGGUCUGUCAAGUCGGAUGUGAAAUCCCCGGGCUCAACCUGGGAACUGCAUUCGAAACUGGCAGGCUAGAGUCUUGUAGAGGGGGGUAGAAUUCCAGGUGUAGCGGUGAAAUGCGUAGAGAUCUGGAGGAAUACCGGUGGCGAAGGCGGCCCCCUGGACAAAGACUGACGCUCAGGUGCGAAAGCGUGGGGAGCAAACA
rnacentral:rRNA from 1 species